UUUGUUUUGCCCAAAGUAACCUUGUCAUCACCCUUAGUAUCUAAAGAGUCCUUGAACUAGAAAUUUUGGUGGCUAGAAAGUCUCUCUAAAUGCCCAUGGCAUUCUGUUGAGCACCUUGUGUGCCUAGCCAGGUUUGACAUGGUUUCUAGUUUGCAUUGUGGAAUUUCUUUUUGUGCCAAACCAACAUGUCUAAUAGAGCCAUGGUAACCACCCUAGCUAUCCUGUUCAGUUGCACCUCAACCCAAGCCCUCUAGCUUGUAGUCGCAUUUAGUCGAGCGCUUGGCGCGCGUGCUCUGGGCGCGAGCAGAGCGCGCGUAUUGCAGCCGUAGCGCCCGAGCUGCCGCACCCCACCUACCCUGCACCUUGGCCCUUGCUGACCCGUAGAGUCGCGUCAUGUGCCCUCCAGAUUGCCCAGUGCGCCAACUGUCCCCUGGAAUAGCUCGAGCUCAUCCGCUAGCUCGUCUGCUAGCGCCUGUCCCCGUUAGUCGCCGCCACAUCUCUUGUUAGCAAUAGUUCGUCAGAGUUAUCCGUUGCCGCUCGGAAACGACCUUGAUUGCGUAUAUAAGGGACCCCCGGGUUUUCCCAGACCCUCAGAGGAACCUCUCCGGCCCCUCUCAAGCUCCCAUUGCAACCAAUCGACCGGGGGAGGUCGUCUUCCUCACCUCCGGCCGAGGUUCGGCCGCCGCCCCUGUAGUUAAAUUCGAGGCCAAUGAAGUUUAUCCUGCAUCGCUCUCCCCCUUGGUGGAAUAACACUGGCACCGCGAGCCCAUCCCCCCUCUCGAUUUCACUCAAGAUGAGCCGUGGGCAAAGUUCCCUUGCGGACCCGCGCCGCCGUCCGCACGCCUCGAAGCCGCUGGAGCUCCCAGGCUCUCCGCCGACCAAAUCCCGCACCUUUGGGAUUGCCUUGGGACCCCGAGCAUGUUGAUACUCUCGGAUUUUGGUGUAGUGCCCCCAAUCACCGUCAAGAGCCACCGGAGGCCUCUCCUCCCCUUGUUUGGAGGAGGUAGAUGACCGGUUUGACCAAAGUCAAACCUGUAUGAAGGGCCCCACUCGUCAGCGACAGAGCCGAGCUUGAGCCACGUUAAGUGAAGGUGUAUUUGUGCAAAGAAUUUGAAGAGGAAGAUUGAAAACUUUCAAAAGUUUUGAAGUGCACCCUACCUUUCUACACAAACAAGGCAAGCAUUCUGAACAUGGAAUAUUACCUUUGUGUAUGGUUUGUUGUGAUGAAGGAAACGUUAUUGUUAUGUUAAAAUAAUUGAGGAUAUUUCAUGCGGUGA